rnacentral:rRNA from 1 species
GAACGCUGGCGGCGCACAUAAGACAUGCAAGUCGAACGGACUUAACUCAUUCUUUUAGUUUGAGAGCGGUUAGUGGCGGACUGGUGAGUAAUGUGUAAGCAACCUGCCUAUCAGAGGGGAAUAACAGUGAGAAAUCAUUGCUAAUACCGCAUAUGCUCACGGUAACACAUGUUACAGUGAGGAAAGGAGCAAUCCGCUGAUAGAUGGGCUUACAUCUGAUUAGCUAGUUGGUGGGGUAACGGCCUACCAAGGCGACGAUCAGUAGCCGGACUGAGAGGUUGAACGGCCACAUUGGGACUGAGAUACGGCCCAGACUCCUACGGGAGGCAGCAGUCGGGAAUAUUGCGCAAUGGAGGAAACUCUGACGCAGUGACGCCGCGUAUAGGAAGAAGGUUUUCGGAUUGUAAACUAUUGUCGUUAGGGAAGAUACAAGACAGUACCUAAGGAGGAAGCCCCGGCUAACUAUGUGCCAGCAGCCGCGGUAAUACAUAGGGGGCGAGCGUUGUCCGGAUUUAUUGGGUGUAAAGGGUGCGUAGACGGAGAGGCAAGUUGGUUGUGAAAUCCCUCGGCUUAACUGAGGAACUGCAACCAAAACUAUCUCCCUUGAGUGUCGGAGGGGAAAGUGGAAUUCCUAGUGUAGCGGUGAAAUGCGUAGAUAUUAGGAGGAAUACCGGUGGCGAAGGCGACUUUCUGGACGAUAACUGACGUUGAGGCACGAAAGUGUGGGGAGCAAACAGGAUUAGAUACCCUGGUAGUCCACACUGUAAACGAUGGAUACUAGGUGUAGGGUGUAUUAAGCACUCUGUGCCGCCGCUAACGCAUUAAGUAUCCCACCUGGGGAGUACGACCGCAAGGUUGAAACUCAAAGGAAUUGACGGGGGCCCGCACAAGCAGUGGAUCAUGUGGUUUAAUUCGAAGCAACGCGAAGAACCUUACCAGGGCUUGACAUAUACAGGAAUAUUCUAGAGAUAGUUUAGCACUUCGGUGCCUGUAUACAGGUGGUGCAUGGUUGUCGUCAGCUCGUGUCGUGAGAUGUUGGGUUAAGUCCCGCAACGAGCGCAACCCCUAUUGCUAGUUGCUAGCAGGUUAAGCUGAGAACUCUAGCAAGACUGCCGGUGAUAAAUCGGAGGAAGGUGGGGAUGACGUCAAAUCAUCAUGCCCUUUAUGUCCUGGGCUACACACGUGAUACAAUGGUAAUUACAGAGGGAAGCAAUACAGUGAUGUGGAGCAAAACCCUAAAAGUUAUCUCAGUUCGGAUUGAAGUCUGAAAUUCGACUUCAUGAAGCUGGAAUUGCUAGUAAUGGCAGGUCAGCAUACUGCCGUGAAUACGUUCCCGGGCCUUGUACACACCGCCCGUCACACCAUGAGAGUUGGAAAUACCCGAAGCCUGUGAGCUAACAAUCGAGGCAGCAGUCGAAGGUAGAGCCAAUGAUUGGGGUGAAGUCGUAACA